GAUGAACGCUGGCGGCAUGCCUAAUACAUGCAAGUCGAACGAGAGGAAGGAAAGCUUGCUUUCCUGAAUCUAGUGGCGAACGGGUGAGUAACACGUAGGUAACCUGCCCAUGUGCCCGGGAUAACUUCUGGAAACGGAUGCUAAAACCGGAUAGGUAGCAGACAAGCAUUUGACUGCUAUUAAAGUGGCCUUGGCCAUGAACAUGGAUGGACCUGCGGUGCAUUAGCUGGUUGGUGAGGUAACGGCCCACCAAGGCGACGAUGCAUAGCCGGCCUGAGAGGGGCGGACGGCCGACAUUGGGGACUGAGACACGGCCCAAACUCCUACGGGAGGCAGCUGUAGGGAAUUUUUCGGCAAUGGGGGAAACCCUGACCGAGCAACGCCGCGUGAACGACGAAGGCCUUAGGGUCGUAAAGUUCUGUUGCGAAGGAAGAACGCCGGAGGGAGGAAAUG
rnacentral:rRNA from 1 species